rnacentral:lncRNA from 1 species
UCUUUAGCCCAUUGGCUCCUCAUCAGUCAAAGAGUUGUGUCUCUUUAAGGUUGGUUCCUCUCCUUGCUCCCAUUUAGGUGCAUCCAUGGUCUUAUGAGUUCCUAUGUUCUAUUUGUCUAGAUUCGGGGCUAGCAGAAUUCACUAAACAGAUUCUUAGGCUGCAUGGACUUCCCUGGCCCUUUCAAUUUCAUACAUUCUAUCAGAUUGGUAAGGAAGGUGGUGCAACAGGUUUUCCACAAGACUAGUAAUGCAUAGCUUCCGAUGAUGAUUUGAGGCAUGUCAGAUGCUUUUCACCCGGUUGGUUUAUAUUAAUUUUGGCCUGUUAUACUGGUGAUUAUGCACUGCCUGGAUCAAUGAAUAUCAUUCGCUAGAUUGAUUCAUGGAAUGAGCUGAUUGCUGAGGCUUGCAACUUCUGCUAGAAUAAAUGCUCUGCAUAACUCCUUGCAGGGCCUAUACAUUCUAAAAGCUGGCUCUCUGUACAUGCUUCUUUUACUCAUCAUAUCCUUUUGAGUUCCUCCAGUUCCAAUAUACACACAC